rnacentral:rRNA from 1 species
GGGCGUAAAGGGCUCGCAGGCGGUUUCUUAAGUCUGAUGUGAAAGCCCCCGGCUCAACCGGGGAGGGUCAUUGGAAACUGGGGAACUUGAGUGCAGAAGAGGAGAGUGGAAUUCCACGUGUAGCGGUGAAAUGCGUAGAGAUGUGGAGGAACACCAGUGGCGAAGGCGACUCUCUGGUCUGUAACUGACGCUGAGGAGCGAAAGCGUGGGGAGCGAACAGGAUUAGAUACCCUGGUAGUCCACGCCGUAAACGAUGAGUGCUAAGUGUUAGGGGGUUUCCGCCCCUUAGUGCUGCAGCUAACGCAUUAAGCACUCCGCCUGGGGAGUACGGUCGCAAGACUGAAACUCAAAGGAAUUGACGGGGGCCCGCACAAGCGGUGGAGCAUGUGGUUUAAUUCGAAGCAACGCGAAGAACCUUACCAGGUCUUGACAUCCUCUGACAAUCCUAGAGAUAGGACGUCCCCUUCGGGGGCAGAGUGACAGGUGGUGCAUGGUUGUCGUCAGCUCGUGUCGUGAGAUGUUGGGUUAAGUCCCGCAACGAGCGCAACCCUUGAUCUUAGUUGCCAGCAUUCAGUUGGGCACUCUAAGGUGACUGCCGGUGACAAACCGGAGGAAGGUGGGGAUGACGUCAAAUCAUCAUGCCCCUUAUGACCUGGGCUACACACGUGCUACAAUGGACAGAACAAAGGGCAGCGAAACCGCGAGGUUAAGCCAAUCCCACAAAUCUGUUCUCAGUUCG